UACGUAGGGACCGAGCGUUGUCCGGAAUCAUUGGGCGUAAAGAGCUCGUAGGCGGCUCAGUAAGUCGGGUGUGAAACCUCCAGGCUCAACCUGGAGACGCCACCCGAUACUGCUGUGGCUAGAGUCCAGUAGGGGAGUGUGGAAUUCCCGGUGUAGCGGUGAAAUGCGCAGAUAUCGGGAGGAACACCAGCGGCGAAGGCGGCACUCUGGGCUGGUACUGACGCUGAGGAGCGAAAGCGUGGGUAGCAAACAGG
rnacentral:rRNA from 1 species